rnacentral:rRNA from 1 species
UAGGGAAUCUUCCACAAUGGACGCAAGUCUGAUGGAGCAACGCCGCGUGAGUGAAGAAGGUUUUCGGAUCGUAAAGCUCUGUUGUUGGUGAAGAAGGAUAGAGGCAGUAACUGGUCUUUAUUUGACGGUAAUCAACCAGAAAGUCACGGCUAACUACGUGCCAGCAGCCGCGGUAAUACGUAGGUGGCAAGCGUUGUCCGGAUUUAUUGGGCGUAAAGCGAGCGCAGGCGGAAUGAUAAGUCUGAUGUGAAAGCCCACGGCUCAACCGUUGAACUGCAUCGGAAACUGUCAUUCUUGAGUGCAGAAGAGGAGAGUGGAAUUCCAUGUGUAGCGGUGGAAUGCGUAGAUAUAUGGAAGAACACCAGUGGCGAAGGCGGCUCUCUGGUCUGCAACUGACGCUGAGGCUCGAAAGCAUGGGUAGCGAACAGG